rnacentral:lncRNA from 1 species
CAGGCUCCAGAGAUAGGACGGUUAAAGGAGAACUGAUGCUGAAGGCCUGUCGACGUGCCUGGCCUCUUGAAAGAGCAGCGAAAACAUGCAAUGCUGGCUGACAUCUCUCUCUGCCUUCUCUUGCUAACCCCUCACCCCUUUGCAGAACGUUCCCCAAUAAGUCUCUGUGUGCACAUCUCAAGAGUCUUGCAAUCCACGCCUCCCCAUUGGUAGGAGAGCUGAUUGAAGGAAGUAAGUUGUGAAAUGAGAUUUUGAGCUAGCUCACUCACUGGCAGGCUGCCUAUUGAAAACCUUGAUAGGUUUUCUAGAAAAACAUAGCAGUCAUUGUUAAA